UACGGGGGGGGCAAGCGUUGUUCGGAAUUACUGGGCGUAAAGGGCUCGUAGGCGGCCAACUAAGUCGGAUGUGAAAUCCCCAGGCUCAACCUGGGAACUGCAUCCGAUACUGGAUGGCUUGAAUUCGGGAGAGGGAUGCAGAAUUCCAGGUGUAGCGGUGAAAUGCGUAGAUAUCUGGAGGAAUACCGGUGGCGAAGGCGGCAUCCUGGACCGACAUUGACGCUGAUGAGCGAAAGCUAGGGGAGCAACGG
rnacentral:rRNA from 1 species